UUCAAUACGUAUAGGCAGAUGGGCCAGCAGCUGAACUAUGAGGAGUAGAAAUGAACGCCCUUGGCCUUUCUCCCAGUAGAUGAGGCACGGCUGAGACACCUUCCCUUGGAAAAUCAUUCCUGAACUUGCCAGUUUAAACUUACAUCAUGAAUCCUUCAAGGAGUGGCAAUGUAUCUCCUCAGUUCUGAAGAGUUCAACACAAAAUGUAACAGACAGAGUUGAAAAUGUCCAUACAGCUUCCUCCAGAGGAAUUGACAGUGUCUGUGAUGCCUGACUGGGAAAGUCUCACACAAGCCUCGUCUCUCCAGAGCCUCUGAUGCAGACAGAGAAAACCUAUCUGCUGGAAACACACCUGCUAAGCAGACAAGUCUGUUUCAUUUGUGACAUAUGCUGAAAUGGUUCACCGGCCUAGGCAAGAAGACAUUGCUUCCUCUUGGAAAAUGGAAAGGUACACAAUAAAAAAAAA